CAGUAGCCACGGUAAUACGAAGGGUGCAAGCGUUACUCGGAAUUACUGGGCGUAAAGCGUGCGUAGGCGGCUUCUUAAGUCGGAUGUGAAAUCCCUGAGCUUAACUUAGGAAUUGCAUUCGAUACUGGGAAGCUAGAGUAUGGGAGAGGAUGGUAGAAUUCCAGGUGUAGCGGUGAAAUGCGUAGAGAUCUGGAGGAAUACCGAUGGCGAAGGCAGCCAUCUGGCCUAAUACUGACGCUGAGGUACGAAAGCAUGGGGAGCAAACAGGAUUAGAGACCCCAGUAGUCCCUGUCUCUUAUAC
rnacentral:rRNA from 1 species